GGGGCGACGGAGGCCGAGUGCGAGCGGGAGCGCGGGCUGGCGGACGGAGCGGCGGCGCCUGCGCGGUGCGGCCCCCACCGGGCGCGGAGCCAGCCGGGACGGACAUGCGCGGGAGGGCGCCGGGGGGCAGCCGCGGCUCCGCGGGGGACCAGAUGCUGCUCGCCGCCUGACGCCCACGGUGCAGGAUGUCCACCGCGGGAGUCGCUGCCCAGGAGAUCCGCGUGCCGCUGAAGGCAUUUCUGCACGAUGGCCAGGCCCUGGGGAGCCUGAACGCAUGCUGGGGCCGCCGCCGGGAGCUGGGGAAUAACUUCCUGAACAUCCACCCUAUCGCCAUGGCCUACAGCCUGAAGGCGACCACUCAGGCCCACCUGAUGUCUCUAGGGCGCGCCUCGGCACCUGCCCCGACCAGCGGCCACCGCCUCGCUGAGCACGGCCCCUCUCAGAAGCCCAGCCUGCCCCCGCUCGUCCUGCCCCCGAGCGACAGCGCGGGGCCCCUCGACGAGGACCCGGUGGUGUGUGGCUUUAAGAAACUGUCGGUCAACGGGGUGAGUGCCCCCACGCCCCCGCUCACGCCCAUGAGGAGCGGCCCGUCCCCCGUGCCCUGCGUGGCGGGCUCCCGGCCGCUGCCCCCGCUGCCCAUCUCCGAGGGCCUCUCGCUGGACGACACGGACUGCGAGGUGCAGUUCCUCACCUGCUCCGACACCGCCUUGCUCCUGGGAGACGGCGCGGCCCCCGAGUUCAAGCACGGCGCGCCGGGCCGGCGCAGCUUCCGCGGCUGCGGGCAGAUCAACUACGCCUACUUCGAGACCCCGACGGUGUCCGUGGUGGACCUCAGCCAGGCCGCCGAGCAGACGGCGGGGGCGCAGCCCUCGGACCCGCCCGCGCCGCAGAGCCACCGGCGGCUCCGGCGGUCGCACUCGGGCCCCGCCGGCUCCUUCCACAAGCCGGCCGCCAGGGUGCACGGCCCCGUCCCCCGAGCCUCCCCCCACCCCGACACAGACAAGCCCGAGGUGCCCCCGCGGGUCCCCAUCCCCCCGCGGCCCGUCAAGCCCGAUUACAGACGGUGGUCGGCGGAGGUCACGUCCAGCACCUACAGCGACGAGGACAGGCCCCCCAAAGUGCCGCCCCGGGAGCCCCUGUCACGGAGCAACUCCCGCACCCCGAGCCCCAAAAGCCUUCCGUCUUACCUCAACGGCGUCAUGCCCCCCACACAGAGCUUCGCCCCGGACCCCAAGUACGUCAGCAGCAAAGCGCUGCAGAGACAGCUCAGCGAGGGCUCCGCCAGCCGGGCGCCCUGCAUCCUGCCCAUCAUCGAGAACGGGAAGAAGGUCAGCUCCACGCACUACUACCUGCUGCCCGAGCGGCCGGCCUACCUGGACAGAUACGAGAGGUUCUUCACGGAGGCCGAGGAGGCGAGCGCCAGCUCCCCGGCACAGCCCUUCCCCGCCGACGGCGGCCUCGCCACGGCCCCCGGGGCCAGGGCGGACGGGGGCGGCCAUGCGAAGCGGAAACACUUGUCCUACGUGGUUUCUCCGUAGCCCCGGUCCCCGUGCAGCAGAGGGUGGAGUUUUCCAGUCUGAGGUCCAGGGAGGAAGUUCCAGGUGCAGAAUAAACUUGAACUCUGUGCAGAGGUGCUGUCAUGCUGAGGACCCCGUGUCCAAGCCCACUGAGGUGUGAAGGGCAGACGGGGGGACACUCACGCCCACAGCAUAUGCCGUAGGAAACGCGCAGCCUAGCCAUAGCCGGUUAACCAGUUAGUCACGUCUCAGCGAUGUGUCUGCAGAAGAAAACGCAGCCGGACCAGGGCUCCUGAGAGACCGCACACAGCGAAGGAAGCACGCACAACGUUUGGAGAUUUCUGGCUCUUUGGUCUUCAUGUUUGUUGGAUGUAUUUUGCAGCCUUUUCCGUGGGGAGCGGGUGUGUCCUUACCGUGGCUGUACCUUCCCAGUUAAAACUGCCCAGACCCGAGACGUGCAGACUUCACUUCCUGUCGCUGCGGGGGACGGGCAGCUUACCUGGCAACCAUGCUUCCACCCGGACGUGUCCCGCUCCUCUUCCUUCAGCCCAGUGGCCACCGUCACGCUGCCUCAGAAACGGGGGACGUGGUGGGCUCCACGCUACGGGUGUGCCUCUAAGCAAUGAUGAAACAGCCACAUGACUGAGAGUGACUGGGAAUGUGUGUGUUGGGGUUUCAGACUAUUAAUAAACAUACAACACAAGCUGGCCUUGUGUUGCUGGUUCCUACUCAGUAUUUCCCGGGAAUUGUCGGCUUUUGAAGUAAAGCCUCUGACCAAGAGCGACUGUGUCUUAAUUCGAGCGUCCCGUCAGCACCACCUGCUUCCGGGCCCACGGCCGCGCUCACACUGCCUGCACAGCCCCGCUGUCCCCGCACAGUCCGGCCGGCGGCCGAGGCGCUCCCCGCAGAGGUGCGUGGCCGCGACGCUCGCGCCAGUUCAACAGCUGUUUACAGUUCCACUGCUGCGUACUGUCUGCGCUCCGUGAAGCGAUGUUAGUCUGAACUAAAUGAAGGUUAAACCAUGCUUUAGGAAAAUGCACUGAUGUCUGCAUUACGUGUACAGUAUUGGACAAAGAAUUUAUCCAUUUUUGUUGCAUUAUUUUGAAUAUUGUCUUCAUUUUAAUAAAGUUACAGUACUUAUUUAUGA